CGUAGGGCUAGCGUUGUCCGGAAUCACUGGGCGUAAAGGGUUCGCAGGCGGCAAUGCAAGUCAGAUGUAAAGGCAAAGGCUCAACCUUUGUAAGCAUCUGAAACUGUAUAGCUUGAGAAGUGUAGAGGCAAGUGGAAUUUUAGUGUAGCGGUGAAAUGCGUAGAUAUUAAAAGAAUACCGGUGGCGAAGGCGACUUGCUGGGCACAAUCUGACGCUGAGGAACGAAAGCGUGGGGAGCAAACAGGAUU
rnacentral:rRNA from 1 species